UACGGAGGGUGCAAACGUUGCUCGGAAUUAUUGGGCGUAAAGCGCACGUAGGCGGUUCGUUAUGUCGGAUGUGAAAGCCCCAGGCUUAACCCGGGAAGGGCAUCCGAAACUGGCGGGCUUGAGUACGGAAGAGGGUCUCGGAAUUCCCGGUGUAGAGGUGAAAUUCGUAGAUAUCGGGAGGAACACCAGUGGCGAAGGCGGAGACCUGGGCCGAUACUGACGCUGAGGUGCGAAAGCGUGGGGAGCAAACAGG
rnacentral:rRNA from 1 species